rnacentral:misc_RNA from 1 species
UCGUUACGAAGUUGAUAAACCUGCUGGAAAUGGUGUGGAUGUCGUCCUUAUUUUAGAGCCAAGAAAUGUCCAGCCUUGUACAUGUUGGGUGACUGAUGUAAUGCAAGUUGACAUCACAAUCUUCUGAUCACUUUGACCUCGAAUAUUGUGAAAUAUUCAAAAUGUCUACAGAAACUAGCUCAAAAAUCUCCACUCAUCAACCGUCUAAACGAAGCCGUGCCCCACCACCCCCAACAAAGAAACCAUCCUUUGAGGAAAACAAAAAUGGAUCCCUAUCUGAACAGGAGAAAGAUGUGUUAAAGAAGAAUGGGAGCCUUGAGGAUGCUGGAGGUACAUCAUCAGGAGAUGAGAGGCAGCUGUCGGUGGUACUACCAUCGGAGAAAAUAGUCAAGGCAUCCGUCAAGAAAGACACACCCAUCUUGGAACUUCUCAUCAUGAUUGCAUCCAAAAACAAACUGAACCCAACCAAUCACACCAUUGCCCAACCAGCUGCAAGACCUAAGGAUCCACCUGUACAGCUCAAACCCACUCAGAAGUUGACAGAUGUUGUCGGCGACACUAUAUACAUUAUCCGCAGAAACCAGAAGCAGGUCUUUGUAUACAAGAAAGACGAAAAAAAGUCUGCUGUGUAUGAGCCCACUACUCGCAUCACUGUCAUCUCGGGUAAAAACCACAAGAUGUGUCUACGUGUAGAUCCUGAAAAGACGCUACAAGAAUUGUUGCCUGUAAUAUGUGAUGAGCGGGCAGUGGAAACGAGUAGUCAUACUCUCCGACUCACAUCUCAACCUCAGGAAUCUCUGGAUAUGAGCCAAACUCUGGAGAGAACGGGAGCCAUUGAGUUUCUUCUGGUUGACUUAAAAGGCCAGCCUGCAGGUUACGAAGGAGGAGAGGUGGAAUUGAUGCCAGAGCAGAGAAAGAAGAAGGGAAGCAUCUUUGGAAAAUUCUCAAAGAAGAAGAAAGGAUAUGCAUUAGGUGGAGGUGAGUUUCAAGAAGACCCAGCAUCUCAUGUUGCAGCCCCUGCGGAAACACAUCAACGUUCUCGUCGCCACACCUCUCCUUCCGCAUUCCCACCGUUGGAUGGCCAGGCCCAGUCUGCAACUCAAGAAGAUGAAGAAGGCAACAACACCUUAAAGAAACGUCGACCAGCCCCGCCCCCUCCACCAGGGAAACAUCUGACCAGUGCAUCAGAUGAUGAGAAACUUGAUGAAGAAUCUGGUGGUUCCAAUACUCUAAGAAAGAGGCGUGCCCCAGCCCCACCCAGACCCCGUUCUCCUCCUAGAAGAACCGUAUCUGUUGGAGCGGAUUCAGCUCAUCAGAUUUCAGCAAAUCUACCUCCUCCUCGUCCAGUAUCUCCUCCAGUGAGAACCAGCAUCAAUGGAGAGACGCACCUUGUCAGAGAGACUAUCAAAGAAGACAAACCUUCCAGGCCACCCAAACCGCCACGUCCCACCUCUAUUAUCAGAGGCACAAGCCUUGAGACUCCACCCCCUACCACUGAACCACCAGAGCCAGUCUUUGUUCCUCCACCACCCCCAGACUUGCCCCCCUCCCCAAGUGACCCACAAGAAGAUGUGACUAAGUUAAUAGAGGAGGGGCGACUUAACCAGUCCUUUGAUGAAGACUUGAUGGAUCAGGAAGCUAGGGAAGAAUCACCUAGAGUACAUAGUGAAUCCAUUAGCAGUAGUGUGACAGAGACUGGCAUAGAUGAGGCAUUUGAAGAAGUCAUUGCUAUGGGAGAAGCAGAAAUCGUGGAUAAGAAGGGAGAGCCUUCUGCAGAAUCACCCCGUCAAGAUUCUAUGGGUGUGGAGGUCAUUGUAGCUGGAUUGACCUUGGAAACAAAGGCAGAGAGGCAUAAGGAGGGGGCGGAGCUUAGGGAACCAGAGGAGGAGGCAAAUCCAGAGGAGGAGACAAUAGAUGAGGUGUCAUCGGAGGACAUCAAAGAGAAAGCUCUUCAAGCAUCUAAUUCUUCUCAUGCAAAUUCUAACAAUGACCAUGGUGACAGGGAUUUAAUCAAUCACAUGGCUGAGACAGUCCCAGCCACUCGCCUUAAAAAACUGACUCAGAAAAGACCAGUAAAAGUCUAUGCAGUCUAUGAUGAAACUGCAGCACGGGAUGGACAUUCCGUACCAGCAGAGGGCGCUGUUGUCAGACGUUUAAGAGCCAAAUCAGACUCUUCGGUUCUUGAAGUGCCACUCAGAGUAAGAUCAGGCAGGUCGUUAUCUGUGCUGGAGAAAGCUAAACCUCUUGAAGGUUUGAAGUUAAGUUGUAUACAGGAAAGCAUUGAUCUAACGGAAACCCCCUCAGUAGCCAUAGCAACAACCAGCAGUGAGAGUGCAUCAUGUCCAUCAACGAUGGUGACUACUACUGAUCAGUACGUGGCUAUCAGCCAAUCACAUGAGACAUCAAGUAGUGAUGUCACGCCUGCUCAGGAUCUACAUGAUGAAAAGCAAACAAGUUCAACUGCUGACAAAUAUUCCUCCUUAUCUCCUUGGUCCACAGACAAAGACGCUAAAGCCAAGAUGGAAUUGCUUUCUCACAUGAUGAAGAUGAGUCUAGAUGAAGACAGCAAGGAUACAAAUGAUUAUCCUCCUCACACCCAGGCUGAUGACACUCAUGAUAUGCUGGAGGAGAAAUCAGUCCAUGCUCUUGCUUUUGAAGUAACCAGGGAAGCAACGAUAGAUUAUGAGGAUGCAGACAAAUCUGUUGAAGCUCUAGGAGAGGAAACUGAAGAUGUGGCUGAGGUUGAAGAAAGUCAGAAGAAAGUUGAUGAUGAGAAGACAGAGUCUGCACAAAUGACAGUGGAAAAGAAAGAAAAAGUGGAUGAAAGUCCAACGAAAGUUGAAGAUGAAAAGCAAAGUCCAGUAAUAGCACCAGGAGGAGUAGCAAUGCAGAAGUUAAAUGAACAAUAUGCAACACUGCAAGAACAACUAACUGCCUUACAGAAACAGAUGGCUAUGCCUCAACAAGCAGGCAUCAUGGAAAUACAGAUGCAACAACUUCAGCAGCAGAUUCUGCUACAGCAGCAAAUUAUUAGUCAGAUGAUGAUGUCACCUCAGCCAAUGGUAAUGCCUCUUCCAUACCAACAGCCAGUGAUAUCGCCACAGCAACAGAUGAUGCUAACUCCACAACAGAUGAUGUCACCCCAACAACAGAUGAUGUCACAACAAAUGAUUUCUCCACAACAACAAAUGAUGACACAACAAAUGCUGUCACCUCAGCAACAGAUGAUGAUGUCCCCUCAGCAACUCCUGAUGACCCCUCCAAUGAUGUAUCCUCAGGUUUCACCUGUUUCUCAAAACAUCACACAACCAAAAAUGUAUGCACAACAAAUAACAUCUACUGCUACUGUUCAGGCUCAGUCUACUCCCAUCUCAUCAACACUUGAGCUGAAUGUUUCAACAGAGUCUGCUCAAGACGAUGCUUCGCCAAUUCAAGAUGAUGGCUCUCCAUCUAAGGAUGAUGUCUCUCCAUCUAAGGAUGAUGGCUCUCCAUCUGGGGAUGAUGGCUCUCCAUCUAAACAUGAUGAUGUUCCAACCGAAGAUGACCUACCCAUUGUGGAUAAUGUAGUAACCAGUGAAGUGGAUACCAGUGAAGUUCAAGCUGAGCCAAGACCUCUUUCACCUCCAGUGAAAGCAGAUGAAGUGUCUGUAGGUCAUCCAACCUACCAUUUUGCUCGAUCACGAGAUGUUCCUCAAGGUGAAAUCAAAGUUGUCAAAGCAUCCCCACCAAACACUCUGCGAGGUCCUAAACAGCACCAGAGACCAACUCUCUUACAAACACCUGAACCCUCUGAAAAGAAAGAAGAGACUGAACCUGAAACCAAGGACCACUCUAAUAUUGAUGCCAAGACAAAUAACGCUGCAGACGAAGUUCAUGCAGAAGUGGAUGCUAAUCAUAAUCCAACACCAGAAGGCAAUGGCAUUGAAGACAAAGUUGAUGCGUCCAAGACAGAAGACAAAGAUGAUGCAUCCAAGACAGAAGACAAAGUUCAUGCAUCCAAGACAGAAGACAAAGAUGAUGCAUCCAAGACAGAAGACAAAGAUGAUGCAUCCAAGUUAGAAGACAAAGUCCACGCAUCCAAGACAGAAGACAAAGUUCAUGCAUCCAAGACAGAAGACAAGAACGCUUCAGAAGAAACUUCCUCCAUCAGUGCAUUUGCAGUUGCUGAAUCCACUGAGCCAGUGUCUUCCAGUAAACCCAAAUCACCCAAACAAAAGAAAUCAGGCUUCAGUUUAUUUAAAAAGAAAACACCCAAGUAUUCAUACAUCUUGUCUGCGCAGAAGGAGUUCUCAAGAAAGUCUGAGACAGAACGCCAACGUACAACUUCCAAUCCUCCUAAACCGACUGACCUCAAAUCAGAAGGUGGUCAAGGAAACAGAGAUCUUUGGCCAAGGUAAUCCAUGACAUCAAGGAGGUUAUCACCAUGGCAACAGAUGCUUAUUAGUCACCAGGUCGUUUGCCGGGUAUUCCAUGACACACAGGAGGUCAUCACCAUGGAUACGGAUGUCGAUUAGUCACCAGGUAAUUUUUUUUGUAUAUGCAUUUGUGAGACAUGUUUUCUCUGAGUCUAUUUUGUAUAACAUUCAGUACUAAUGAAAAUGAUUAUUGGCUCAAUAUUUAAACAAUAACUGUUAAUGUUUCAGAGAAAAGAAAUGACAUUCAUUAUUUUGUAAAUAUGUCAUUAAAAAAGUGGGUGAGAAUGUUAUUGUACUUGAUUGUAAGAGAUGUACUUGAUUAUAAGAGAUGUAAUUUGAUAAUAUGGCAUUAUCCAUUUGAUUAUUUUAGUAGGUUAUGUGACUUUUUAUGUACAUCAACAUUUGAUAAGUGAAGCACCUAUGCAAGCUUGUCAUAAAUACCAUUGACCAACACAUUGGAAGUCCUGAAAUUAUUGUUUGUGUUGACCGCAUAUUUUGAAAGUACAAUGUGACUUCCAUGUAACUGAAUUCCAUUGCCAAAUCUAAUUGCAAAUUAACCUUGAUGACAACUAGUCAUUACUUUGAAAUUAGUUGUUCACUUAACUGUAUCGACCAAUUUUUGUUUUGCUUUUGGAAAUGAAGUUACUUGAAGAAACAAAAUGUUGUACCCACGCUUUACUGUUUAUAUUUUUUAUUAAAUAAAUAAAGAAAUGUAUUGUUUUUUGCUGAUAUCUACAAGUAGAUAUUUUAAGUGUACAAGUUCUGUUAUACAUGUAGUUAUACUGUAAGUAAGUUUUGCAAAUAGGCAAAUUUCCAAUUUAUUAACAUAGUAUGUAUUCAUCCUUCUGUGGUCAAAUGUAUUCACAAAUAUACUAUAUCUUUACUGCCCUCAAUCAGCUAGAGCUGUGCCAAAUAUACCAAAUAUUUGAUUAUCAAACAAUUAUCCAAAUAACAUUUUCUUAAUUCAGAUAUUCAAAACAUGUGAGAGGUUGAGGAGAUGAUGCAAAGUCCAUAAUGCUCUUAUGAUUGCAUGAGUUGCGUAGUUUGAUUUUUGUUUUCAAUGAAGCACUUUUGUCCAAAUCCACUUUUGCAUAUGAUUUGGGAGCUCUAAGGAGAAGUCUAGCUCUAAUUUCUUUACAACUGAUAAAAUAUCAGCUGUUCUGCUUCUGCUUCUUGGUCAUGUUUGUAUUACAUGUACUUUAAGAGAUCUUUAUUAAUUUGACAACUGCAAGAGCAAGCAAAUUCCAAAUUAGAAUAUUCAAAUGCUAAAUUAUUCCUAAAUGCACAGCCCUAAAAUCUGCCCAAGGUAGGUAUGUACUGUGUAUAACUAAAAGUGUUAUCUAUAUGAUUUGAGUACUUAAAUCGUGAGAUGUUAAAUGGAAAAAAAAAUUUUUUUGUAUAUUUUAUUCAAUAUUCAUGCAAUUUUGAUAUUGAAAAUAUUUUAAUUGACUGUUUUUGAGUGGGCACCUGUAUUAAGUAACACAUAGUAACAGACACAAAUUUCAUGACGUCACUGUGACUGGGUCUUAGUUGUUACAUCCAAUUGAAUGUCAGCGUAGUGAAUAGUAACACACAUGUAUGCAUUAAGAGCGCAGACGUGGGCUAAGCCUAAAUGCAACUCCAAAUGCGAUGCCAGAAAAUUUGGUCCAUAGACAUGACUGCCAAACCGAGAGAGAUGUUUGGGAGGGGGAUGGGCACUGUUGAAUAUAACAAACAUUUCCACACUUAUAUGUAAUACAUGUUUGUUUGCAAGGUUGUACUCGCUUUGUAAUCACAAAACCUUCGGAUUCUGACAGCUUGUUUGUAUAUUUUUGUUGACUUCGGUGAAAGUUAUUGUGAAUACUGUUAUAUUUAAAGAGACUGAUGUACAAAAGUAUUACCAUAUUUACAUUCAUUAAUAUGUAGUUUAAAGGAAUAUAUUAUUUAAUUAUGAUUUUUUGAGUAAGCAGUAUUGUAGGAAGUAGUCAUAAUAUUGAAAUCAAUAGGGUCCUAUAACAUUAUAUACUGACAAUCGUACUUAAAGAUAAUUCCCUCUGCUAUUUUGAGUUUCAUCCUGUAAAAUGAUUUCUUUUCUAAACAGCGGUUUUUCUACGACAUCAGCAAAAAGGUCGGAUCACACUUAGUUAUUGAAUUAUUAGUUAAAAUAUUUCAAACUUCGUAUCCUGACAAUAAUUAUGUGUUCACCCGGAUCACCCCAAAUCAGUAACAAUGAUAUAUGGACCAGGAGUCUGCACGGCAGAUUUUUUUUGUGCAAAUAUACAAACCUUUUUCAGAGGAUGUCUAACACCCAAAAAUGUGGGAUUUUUUUGGUGAAUAUAACAUUACAAGUUGAAUAUUUAUUAGAGAAAAAAAUUACUGAAAAGUAAUGGAAACGCACCGUUAAACCUCAUCAUAAAGUGUCAUUAUUAUAUUGAUACUUUUUAUAUUUU